rnacentral:rRNA from 1 species
UGAGCAAUCUGCCCUUCUCAUCGGAAUAAGCGUUGGAAACGACGUCUAAUGCCGAAUACGACCUCCUUUCGCAUGAUCGGAGGUGGAAAGCUCCGGCGGAGAAGGAUGAGCUCGCGGCCUAUCAGCUAGUUGGUGUGGGUAAUGGCCCACCAAGGCGACGACGGGUAGCCGGCCUGGAGAGGGUGACCGGCCACACGUGGGACUGAGACACGGCCCAGACCUCCGUACGGGGAGCAG